CAACACAUGUAAUAGUAGCAAGUUUCAUCCGUACAUAUACAUAGUUUCAUCAAUAUUACACAAUUUCAUCCAUAGGUAGCAAGUUUCACAAGGUCAAAACAAAAACUAAAUACAAGCACUCCAUCAACCCAAGCUUACGUGAUCUUAAGCAAAUCUGUAAAAUGGGAAAGAAGAAAGUUAGAAUAAGAAGACUAGAAGAAGAAGAUUAUUAUGAUGCAACUAAAAUGUGAAGAUUAUUAUGAUGCAACUUAUAUCUGUAAAAUAGGUCAUUUUGGAGCUAAGUAUGGUUAUUAUAUCAUUUUUGAGCUAGCUAAGCAUACUAAGUCAUUUUGGUGUAAAACAUGCUAAGGUCAUUCUAGAGCUAAGUAAGGUUAUUAUGUCAUUUUGGAGCUAGCUAAGCAUGUGAAGUCAUUUAGGAGCUAAAAUAUGUCAUUUCUUAAGCAUAUUAUGUCAUUUUAGAGUUGGCUAAGCAUAUUAAGUCAUUUUGGAGGAAAAUAUGCUAAGUAUAGGUCAUUUUAGAGCUAUCCUAGGUUAAAUAGGUCAUUUUUAAGCUAGCUAAGCAUAUUAAGUCAUUUUGGAGAAAAAAAUGCUAAGUAUAGGUCACUUUAGAGCUAUCCUAGGUUAAAUAGGUCAUUUUGGAGCUAAUUAAGCUUAUUAUGUAAUUUUUGAUCUAGCUAAGCAUAUUGAGUCAUUUUGGAGGAAAAAAAUGCUAAGUAUAGGUCAUUUUAGAGCUAUCCUAGGUUAAAUAGGUCAUUUCGGAGCUAAGUAAGGUUAUUAUGUCAUUUUGGAGCUAGCUAAGCAUAUGAAGUCAUUUAGGAGCUAAACUAUGUCAUUUCUUAAGCAUAUUAUGUCAUUUUAGAGCUAGUUAAGCAUACUAGUCGUCAGCCCGUGCGCUUGCACGGGCUAGCUAGUUUUGAACCAACUAGAUGACCAGCUGCGCCAAAUGGCGCAAAGACCUGUUUAAAACCAUGUUUGUGUGGAAAAUAGAACUGAAUUUCCUUAGAAGUCUGUUGUUUAGUUGGUGCUUAGGUGGAUAGAACUGAAUUUCUGCGUCAAGACCAAUAGUCCUUGCCUUCUGUGUUCAAGACCAACAGUCCUUGCCUUCUGUGUUGAGUAUACUGCGUUCGGAAGGCCAAGCUUCUCCAUCAUAGUGUCUAGAAGCACUUUUCUUGGGAUCCUGACUUUUUUCAUCGCGGCUGACUGAUAACAAAGAGGAAGACACUAUAAGUGCAGUGUAUUUUUUUUGCGGGGUACUGUAAGUGCAGUGUAUGAUUCUAUAUGUGUAUGUAUGUCUAUCAAUUUUUGGUGAGAUACACAACACUGAUAGUAACUGAAUGAUAUGUGUUGGCUAGGUAAUUCUGAAGCUGCCAAAAGGUAAUAAAAGAAUUGAGAGUAGCAGGGGUUUGAGCUUGCUUAAACUGUAGACUAUACAUGCUUGUACUAUUUGUUAGGCCCCAGGAAAACAGGGGAUCAACAGAUAUGGCUAUGCACCAAUUGGUUACUCAGGUGUUUAUUAGGAAGCACGCAGAGUCUGAGCAGAGAAGCUUCACUUCAUUCUCUCACCCUUGAUACUAUAGUAUUUAUCAAAUCAGGUUAUGGAAGCAUAUAUGAAGUACCAUCAAUCUUUUCUCUGAUUUGGACGAAAUCACACUGCCUACUUAUCACAGCUGCUGUGUAUGCGGUACUGAAACUAAUGUGAAAUAGCUAGGAUGAACUUAAUACAGAUCAGGUUGUGGAAGCAAAUAUGAAGUACAAUGCGACUGUUAUCUGAUUUUGAUGGAAUCACACUCCCUAACUAUUACUGCUGCUGUGUAUGUGGUAUCCAAAGUAACCUGAAAUAGAUGGGAUGAACCAAGCACUAUUCAUUUUAGUUAUGUCUAACAAUCAUACUUCUGCCUUUUUAGCGGAACACAAAUGAACCAGUAUGUCAAGAACCAAACAGGUGGUUAUGUAACAACAACCAUGAUUUGUGCAUAACAGUAUAAACACUGGUCAGUACCAUGGCUAUAAGUAAGUAAACAUACUGGUAAAAAAAGUAAAAAAAAAUUACAAAGAAGGUAUGACAUGCGUAAAUAUGGAGUUUGAUUUACAUGGUCGAAGAGGGUCCUCUUCGUCAUUUAACUGAAUAGAGAUUAUGGCGAAUUACGAUUUCAGUUUUGCCUGGCUUAAACUCUUCCUAGUUUAAUCUUUUACUCCCUCUGUAAAGAAAUAUAAGAGCGUUUGUUAUAUUUCUUCACGGAGGGAGUAAUAUUCAGCAUAGGUGAUCCAAAAGGAGUAAAUUAAAUAAAACUCCACAUUGUAAAAACAUGUGUCAGCCAUACAUGGUAGAAAAUGUCCUCUUCGCACAUCUGGAUUACUUAAAAAAACUAAAAUUAGAUUCUAUAAACUUGUGGUUUUCUGUUCAACCCAGCUUAAACAGCUCCUAGGCGACCAAAACUGAAUGAAACUCUAAACUGAAAAAAAUACAUCGAUAAAAAAGAGCUCAUCUAUAGCCUUGGACCUUUGACUUGGCCCUACCAAGCCAUGGCGACUGGUGUGUAGAUGUGGAACUUAAGGCGACUGCAGAAAGACCCCGCCCACUCGACAACACCUCAUUCCCCUUUCUCCGCUCCCUUCCCAUAAGAUGCCACCGCCUAUAUAAGCAUAAGCAUCUUGCAUCAUGUAGAGAGAUAUAAUGCACCUUUGCAUAGUGGAAUGCAGAAAAUUGGCACACAAAACUGGUAAUUGUGCCAUGAAAUACAUAUUUGUGCAUUCAAGCAUCCAGAAAUACACAAAUGCAUAAAAAAAUACACAAAUGCAAAAAUAAAACUGCGGGUGCGUUUGGAUAGCUACAAAACAUUCCUUGUGAUAGUUGCAAAAAAAUAUACAUAUUUGUGCACUCAAGCAUUCAGAAAUACACAAAUGCAUAAAAAAAAUACACAAAUGCAAAAAUAAAACUACGGGUGUGUUUGGAUAGCUAUCUCACCUAGCUUAGCUGGGCUAGAAUUAUCUAGCCCGCUCCAGCAAGAGCCGCUAGAAGCAAGGCUAGUUAUUUGGAUAAUGGCUAAUUUUGCUAGUGUGGGAGAGCCAAUUCGGCUAACUUCCAUCAGCAAGGUUUUCUUGGCAGUUGAGGGCUAGAUUGCUUCCAGAAGCUAGUUUUACUUUGAUUACCAAAUGGAUAACCUUGCAUAGCUAAGCUAGAGCUGCCCCUUGCCUCACAUCCAAACACAUCCUUGGUAUCUAACUGUCCAUGGUCAACACAUACAAAAUGUACAUACAUACUGGCAGUCUGCCAAAUACAAAAAGAGGAAACGCUAACUAAUAUGUAGAACACAUAUGAAUGAUUAUGAGUUGUGAGUCUAUGGCUACGUGGACUUUUCUUGAGGGAUUCAUAUAGCUGAAGGGACUAGCUGCCAAAAUAUAACAAAACUGAAGUUCAUGGUGUGCAACCAACUUCCAAAAAUUCAGAAAAUGGCUUCGCGAAGUAAAACUAUGCAUGUCAAGUCUACAUUGACAGCCACUGCUUGGGAAGAAUUAGACUCUGCUAUUAGUCAGUAGGUAUGGUACACAUAUAGUUAGAGUUGAACUGUUACCUACCAAAUUUGUAAUCUUGAGUAUAAAAUUUUCAGAAGAAGAAAUGGUAAUGUGGUUCAAUUUUCAAAAGAAACAUGGAGAUUGCAAGGCUGGUUUGAAGAAACUAAGGCUGAAUGAUCCAUGGAACUUUAAUGAUGGUGAAGAAUCUAAACUGAAAUAGCAUACCAGACGCACAAACAAUCACAAAGAGAUCAAUUACCAACGUCAUAUAUUUACCAGUAACCACAAAUCAUGAAAUCAAUGUCAGAGGACCAAAAUUUUCACAAGCUAGGGAAAUAAUGCUCUUCACCAAAACCUUGCCAUAACUUAUUCCUCUUAUUUCUUUGUCAGAGCUACACAUUGCAAAUUCAGAGAAAUUUUUGAGAAAUAAAAGAAAGCUUCAUGAAAGGGAGGAGUGGGCAGGCAUAUGAGAAAUGAGCGCUUGCACGCAUAUUCUUACUCCGUGAGAAUUGCCACCAAGCCCUUCAACACCUAGUCAAUGACCAUGACCGCCUGAGUUUAGAACACCGCGUCAAGUUCCUUUGCUCUAACCCCGUGACCUGCCAGCAUCCGACGCCACCGAAUUCGACCACUGCCCACCAGAACACCAAAAUUAUAAUGUGAGACGACAUGACAGGAGACCAAAAAAUGGUUUAUAAGGCUCCAAAAUAGAAUCAUGAUAAGUAGUAAAGUACCUAAUAUCUGUAAUAAUCCAUCACUCCAAAAUAAGAUCAUGAUAAUUAGUCCACAGUAAAAGCUAGACCCUUUCAAACAAAAGACCAGGUUCUGAACGAAAGGCCAUCCCUUCAUAUCUUUGCAUUGUCCCCUGAAAAUAGAGAAUGAGAGUCAAUAUAGAUCAAAAUAUUGUCAAUUCAUUACCUACUAAUCGGCAACAUAUGCUUAUAAUAUUUGAGGCUCUAAAGCCAAAAAAAGGCGAGAGAACAUCUUACACACACAUGAAAAGAGGAACAAAAAGGACAGGAAAAGCAGCCAAAGUAUACCUUCAGCUUCAAUCCAAUGGUCUGAUUGAGUUCCUGGCCAAAUCCUUCAUUCAUCCUCACCUGCCUUAGAUAGCUGCAACCAAUGAAGAAGAUCAAUUGUCCUUUACAAGCUAUGUAAUCCAAAAACAUUAUCACAAGAUGGAGCAACUUGUGGUUGGUGGCAUCGACGCCGGUGAAGCACGAAAGGAAGCAAUGGCCAUAUCAACAUGUUCAGUUAAAAGCACCAGACCUAAUUAUGCACAUUAUUUCCUUGAAGCAUCACAUAUAGAGUUAUUUUCUAUACUAAGCAAGGUCUCAAAUAUGCACCUCUCUUUUUGCAUCUAUAUCUACCAUCUCUCGAUCGACCAUCAACCAAAAUUGGUAAAAAAAAGAUAGAUUGAGCACAUUGCACACCAAGAAACAUAAACUAAAGCAUGCAUUGGGCAAAAAAAGAAGAAGAAGCGGGAAAGAGUUACCUGCUUCUUGGAAUUGCAGUUGAGUACUAUAAUAAAGGACACCUCUGCAAACGAAAGAAAGAUGCACACACAUCAGCAUCUUUCCUGAGUAGUCUUUCCACUCGGGCAUUUACACAAACAGAUAUUGUGCGCACUUGCAACCUCUCAAUAUGGGUCAAAAGAUGUUACAGAACAGGGGCGCUGCUAGGAGUAGAUCAUCCACAUGGACAUCCGUCGUUGUUGUGAACUUCCGAUGGUGACGGGCGGCCUAGCACGUGGGAAAGGGAUCUGGCAACACAUAGAGCAGUAAGAUGCCUGCUGCUAAUGAAGUGGAGAUGGGUCAGGGGUGGGCGCAUGUGGGAGAUGGACACUUACCUCGUCCUCCUCGUCAUCCUUGGAGGCAGCGAGGUAUGGAGCCGCGGUGCUGGUCUUGUAGGGACGGGUCGGGGUGGCCGGAUCUCUUGCAGUAGAGGGAGCGACGGGGCCGGCGAUAGGGUGGCGGGAGAGGGUCGGCGACGGGGCGGGGGAGCAACGGCGACGGGGCGGGGGAGCGACGGCGACGGGGCGGGGGAGUGACGCGGCCGGCGACAGGGCGGGGGAGCAACAGGGCCGGCGACAGGGUGGCGGCGGGCGAGCCUAGAGCGCCAUCGACGGGGGCUGUUCGGUGUGUGGAUGAGAUGCGAAGUUUU
rnacentral:lncRNA from 1 species